rnacentral:lncRNA from 15 species
GGUAACUGAAAGAUAUUGUUCAUAAUUUACUAUUCUUCUUUUAGUUUUUCUCUCCCUAAACUUUAAAAAUGCCAUGUAUGGUAUGUGUUGCUGAAGCUGAGCUCAGUUUGCUUUCCGUCAGUCAUACCAGCUGUUGGUUACAGGUCCAUAUCCUCUUGCCAGCCUUCACCUUUACUUAUUCAGGGCUGUAAUAGUUACAGCAGUGCUACAGCUGGCAACAUAUUUAUGACAAAUAUCAGAGGGAAGUUGAACCUACCAAAAAUAUAAAUAUUUUUAGUCCCAUUUUACUUCCACACAUAUUUCUUAUUGUAUUUUGUAUAUGCUCAUUGUUAUUGCUGCUGAAUUUGAGUAAUCUACUGCUGACCAACUACUCACUAAUGUUGUUGAACUUAAUCCUCAGGUUGGAGGACCAUCGACUGUCACUACGUCUAAGAUCUCCAGAACCAAAGACCAGGAUCCUGACAGAUCUUCUUGCUCCCAGAAACAGGGCUCAGAUGAACUAGGACUCCAUCUUCCAAAGAAAAAUGUUGGAAUGAAUCAGUCUGUUGUAAACUACAUGGAUUCUGAUGAAUCUCAGUGUUCAUCUACAUGUCCUGCCAAUUUUGAUAAGACAUCUGAGACUGAACUCAGCCUGUCUGAACAGGACCAAGAGUGUGUCCCACUGCUGAGGAGGACCAAAAGCAUACAGGUGAAUAAUCAGAUUCAUUCUGAUUCAGAUGAGCUUGUCGACCCCUCCUCAGCUGAUAGUGGAGAGGAAUAUAUCCCUAAAACUAGUGAGGAUUAUUCUGAUGGUACAGACACAAGUGAGGUUCUAGAGCCAGUUGACCAGAGAGAGAGCAUGCUCAGGUCUUUAAACUGUGUCUCAUUAGCAGAACUGAACAAUGGUUCUUCGAAGAAUGUGGUUGACAGAGGACGCUCACCCUCAAGAAAAGGAAGCAGGUCAGGAAUGAGACAUAAAAGACCAUAUUUAAGCAGUGUACCCUGUCCUAAAACACAAACCACUAGUGGUCAGUCACCAGAACAAAGUGGAAGGGGAGACACUGGAACCCCGUUAGAAAACUCAACACUGGAUCUUGAGAAAAAUCUUCUGGACAGUAACUCUCAUCCACUUGAUAGUGUGGCUGGUGGUUCACUUUCCAUACCUGCUGUCUCUAAAAAGGAGAAUGGAUCAAGAAUAUACAACAAAAAACAAUACUGUUUGUAUUGUAAGUUGGGAGUUGUAAAAAUGGCAAGGCAUUUGGAACGUGCUCAUCAGAAUAAACCAGAGGUUGCACAGGCUUGUCCUUCCCAAAAGGCUCCAAAGAGAGACGCAUGCAUCUGGGACAUUUGAGGAAUAGGGGCAACUUUGCACACAAUAUUGAUGUGUUAAAUUCUGGUGUUGGAAAUCUUGUUCCUCGCAAGCAACCAAAACAAGCAAAAAUUUCCUGCAUUGCAUAUAUUGUCAUGGCUUUUUCACAAAGAAAGUUCUUUGGCGGCACAUGACGAUCUGCAAGUUCAAACCUGGUGUUUCACAAAAACCUGGCAAAACACGUGUUCAGGCCCUCUGUGCAUUUGCUGCACCUCCACCCCCUGGUGUCAAAGUAGAAUUUUGGAAGCUCUUAAGCAACAUGAUUCAAGAUGAAGUUUAUUCUGCAGUCAAAUCUGAUGUCUGUAUCAUGGAGUUUGGUGAGCAUCUAUACAACCGGCUUGGACAUGAUGUUGGCAAACACGAAUACAUUCGGCAAAAGUUGAGAGAGCUGGGAAGGCUUCUGGUAUGCUCUAGGAAAACCACUCCCUUGAAGACCAUUCAAGACCACGUCAGACCUGUAAAUUUCAUGCAUGUUGUGGAAGCAGUGAAACGUGUAGCUGGCUAUGACAGUGAAACCAAUGCAUACAAGCGACCAAGUCUUGCUCUCAAAAUUGGACACAGCUUGACAAAGAUUUCGAUGCUUGUUGAAAGCCGUGCAAAUGUACAGACUGACUACAGUGCAGCAAAAGAUGCUCGUACAUUCCGCAGAGUAUAUGAAACCAGGUGGAAUGAACUAAUAUCAGCUGCGUCACUGAGAACACUUCAGGAAUCUAAGUGGAAUGCCCCCCUGUUGCUACCAUUCACAAAAGAUGUCCAGACUCUCAUUCUUAUUUAGAUGUGCAACAACGACAUAGUUACAGCAAGCUGUCCACAGAGACAUCCCCCCCAGGCAUGGACACAGCUGGCAAAGGUUACUUUGACAGAAGUCAUCUUGUUCAACCGACGGCGAGCAGGAGAGGUGUCAAAAAUGCCCCUCUCUGCAUAUUUGUCUCAAAAUCCAACAGACCCUGAGGAAGAUGUGAACAUAGCCCUCUCAGAUCUGGAAAAGAAACUCUGUCAGCACUUCAGGAGGAUAGAGAUAAGAGGAAAAAGGGGAAGAAAAGUUCCUGUGCUUUUGACCCCAGCAAUGCAACAAGCAUUGGAUCUGCUUGUCAGCAAACGGGAGGAAUGUGGGGUUCUUCGGGAGAACAUCUACUUAUUUGCAAGACCAUCUGCUUUUACCUGCUACCGUGGGUCUGAUUGUCUUCGACACUUCUCCAAAGUUUGCGGUGCAAAGAGUCCUGAAAGUCUCACUUCUACAAAACUGCGCAAACAAACUGCAACUCUGUCUCAAGUUCUCAACCUCAGUAACACAGAGCUGGAUCAGUUAGCUGAUUUCCUUGGCCAUGACAUAAGGGUGCAUCGACAGUUCUACAGACUUCCUGAGGGCACACUCCAACUUGCUAAAAUUAGCAAAGUUCUCAUGGCUCUGGAGCAGGGACGCCUAGCACAAUUCAAGGGCAAGAGCCUGGAUGACAUCAGCAUUGAUCCCGAUGGUACUAAUUAUUUAUUUUCAGUUGUUCUUGGAUUCUUGUAUUUGCUUAUCUAAAGUGAUUGAUUGUCAGAAUCAAAUGAAUUGCAUUCUAUGAUCACUAACAGUCACUCUCCUCCCUCCCACCCCCUCCCCAACUCACAGAAAAUGCACACAUGGACAGUGACACUGAGGUGGCAUGUGACUCAGACUCACAAGGUAAGUACUUUUGAUAUAUUACUAAAUGUAACCCUGCCUAGGUAAUCCAGGAUGUCAAAAUCAAGUGUUUUGACUCUUAUCUUGUUCCAAGUCUUGGUAUCUGCUGUAACUGACUCUGAUCUGACUCUUAUAUUUACAGAAAUGUUAAUAUAAUAUGACAUC